GAAGAACGGGAAAGAGAAACGGCCCAAACACAGUCUGGGGUGGGAUGUAAAAUUCACCACGCACAAAGUUUAUGAUGAAGGAAUAACAUUAUAAUAUGAUAUAAAGCUCAGAAAAGUUGAUUCUACGUCAUAUUUCCCAUUUUAAACGUAAGCAAUUUGAUGAAAUGGAGUUUUCCAAAUCCAAAGAGGAGUAUAAUGCAGACGUUUUGUAGCAACCAGAUCUUAUUGAUCUUUCAGCUGAGGAUGACAAAGUGGAUUGGCAACAGACGCACAAAAAGGGACGGAGAGGCGGCAUGAACGUGGUUUAUGUUGCGUUCCGGAUCAUGCAUCACUCACUUUGGGGCCAACGCGGCUCUGGACUGACUUGCUGGAUGGUGGUUGGAGACUCAUAGUCUCAUAAAUACAAGGUUUCAGGGUUUGAUCCCU